rnacentral:antisense_RNA from 1 species
CACAGUUCACAGUAAAGCCCAAGACUGCACCUGCCCAUCCAGUGCUUUUUCAAUGUAUCCUGGCACUGAGCAUAGACCUCUUCCCAGGCAGAGCUGACAGCAAGUAAAGGAGAUCAUAAUCAGGGGACCAAACAACUUUGUCUAAAGUGUGAAUGUCACCUAAGGAGAAGCUGUGAGAUCAGAAGGGUGGAGCAGAGGAGCAGACACCAUGAGGGAGAGUCCUUGGGGGUGCGUCUGCCAGACUGACACUGUCUGGCCUGGGCAGUGGAGGGGCUGGCAGGAACCACAGGUACUGGUGGUGUGACUACUACUGCCUGUGCUUGGAUAUGGACCCUCUGCAAUAUGCGGCAGUCUCAUUCAUUGCCCCCUACAUCCUACACCAAGUAGAAAUGGAAGGCGAUUGGAUACUUCACAGAGAGACAAGAUCUAAGUGGAGAAGGAAUGCGUCCUGUGGCUGUGGAGAUCCUUGGAGCUUGGAGGGGAGAGCUUGAGCCCCACUGGUGAUGACCUCCCACAACUCGCCAACUCAGCCCUCCCUAAGUCCCCAUCGGGGGCCAAUUCUCUCUCUGGGGUUGGGGGGACUCCCCCAUAGCUCAUCCAUCAUAGGGAUGUUGGUAUCUACUGUGGGUUGGGUAGGGCCGAUGUGCUGAGGAUGGCUCCCCCACAAGCAAGAGAUGUGGAUUUGGGGAGCUUCCCGUCUUGUAUUGAAGGAACACAACUCAGAAUAAUAAGCGCCAACUAUAACAAACCCACAGCCAACAUCAUACUGAAUGGGCAAAAGCUGCAAGCAUUCCCCUUGAAAAGUGGCACAAGAUAAGGAAGCUCUUUCUCACCACUCCUAUUCAAUAUAGUGUUGAAAGUCCUGAUCACAGCAGUCAGGCAACAGAAAUAAUAAAGGGCAUCCAAAUAGGAAAAGAGAAAGCCAAACUAUCCUUUUUUGCGACAAUAUGAUUCUAUAUCUGGAAAACCCCAUAGCCUCAGCCCAAAAGGUCCUUCAUCUGAUAAACAAUUUCAGCAAAGUUUCAGGAGAUAAAAUCAAUGUACAAAAAUCACUAACAUUCCUAUACACAAUAGCCAAGCCAAGAGCCAAAUCAGGAGCACAAUCCCAUUCAUAAUUGCCACAAAAAGAAUAAAAUACCUAGGAAUGCAGCUAACCAAGGAAGUAAAGGAUCUCUACAAUGAGAAUCACAAACUCUGCUCAAAGAAAUCAGAGAUGACACAAACAAAUGGAAAAACUUUCCAUGCUCAUGGCUAGGAAGAAUCAAUAUCAUUAAAGUGGCCAUACUACCCAAAGCAAUUUAUAGAUUCAAUGCUAUUCCUAUCAAACUAUCAAUUACAUUUUUCACAGAACUAGAAAAAAACUUAAAAUUCAUAUGGAACCAAAAAGCCUGAGUAGUCAAGGCAAUCCUAAGCAAAAAGAACAAAGGUGGAGGCAUCACAUUACCUAACUUCAAACUACAGGGCUACCAUGACCAAAACAGCAUGGUACUGGUACAAAAGCAGACACACAGACCAGUGGGACAGAAUAGAGAGCCCAGAAAUAAGGCCACAAACCUACAGCCAUCUGAUUUUCAACAAAGUUGACAAAAACAAGCAAUGGGGAAAGGUCUCCCUAUUCAAUAAAUGGUGCUGGGCUAACUGGCUGGCCAUAUGCAGAAGAUCGUAACUGGACCCCUUUUACUAUGUACAAAAAUUAAGAUGGUUUAAAGAGUUAAAACCCAAAAUUAUAAAAAUCCUGAAGAUAACUUAGGCAAUACCAUUCUGGACAUAGGAACUGGCAAAGAUUUCAUGAUGAAGACACCAAAAGCAAUCGUAACAAAAGCAAAAAUUGACAAAUCGGAUUUAAGGGCUUCUUCACAGCAAAAGAAACAACAGGGCAGACAAUCUACAGAAUAACAGAAAAUUUUUGCAAACUAUGCAUCUGACAAGGGGCUAAUAUCCAGCAUCUAUAAGGAAUUUAAACACAGUUACAGG